UACGAAGGUGGCAAGCGUUGUUCGGAUUUACUGGGCGUACAGGGAGCGUAGGCGGUUGGAUAAGCCCUCCGUGAAAUCUCCAGGCUUAACCUGGAAAGUGCAGAGGGGACUGUUCAGCUAGAGGAUGGGAGAGGAGCGCGGAAUUCCCGGUGUAGCGGUGAAAUGCGUAGAUAUCUGGAGGAAUACCGGUGGCGAAGGCGGCAUCCUGGACCGACAUUGACGCUGAACGGCGAAAGCUAGGGGAGCAAACGGG
rnacentral:rRNA from 1 species